CGGGUGAGUAACACGUGGGUAACCUGCCUCAAAGAGGGGAAUAGCCUCCCGAAAGGGAGAUUAAUACCGCAUAAUAUGUCAAGGCCGCGUGGCCUUAACAUCAAAGGAUUUUCUUCGGAAAUUCCACUUUGAGAUGGACCCGCGGCGCAUUAGCUAGUUGGUGAGGUAACGGCUCACCAAGGCGACGAUGCGUAGCCGACCUGAGAGGGUGAUCGGCCACAUUGGAACUGAGACACGGUCCAGACUCCUACGGGAGGCAGCAGUGGGGAAUAUUGCGCAAUGGGGGAAACCCUGACGCAGCAACGCCGCGUGAAUGAUGAAGGCCUUCGGGUUGUAAAGUUCUGUCUUCUGGGACGAUAAUGACGGUACCUGAGGAGGAAGCCACGGCUAACUACGUGCCAGCAGCCGCGGUAAUACGUAGGUGGCAAGCGUUGUCCGGAUUUACUGGGCGUAAAGGAUGCGUAGGCGGACAUUUAAGUCAGAUGUGAAAUACCCGAGCUUAACUUGGGUGCUGCAUUUGAAACUGGGUGUCUAGAGUGCAGGAGAGGUAAG
rnacentral:rRNA from 1 species